GAUGAACGCUGGCGGCGUGCCUAAUACAUGCAAGUCGAGCGAACAGACGAGUACUUUCCUCCUCUGACGUUAGCCGCGGACGGGUGAGUAACACGGGGAUAACCUACCUAUAAGACGGGGAUAACGUCGGGGAGGCGGAGAUAAUACCGGAUAAUAAAUGGAACCACAGGGUUCAAUAGUGAACUACGGCUUUGGUGUUGCUCAUAGGUGGAUUCGCGCCGCAUUAGCUAGUUGGUAAGGUAACGGCUUACCAAGGCGACGAUGCGUAGCCGAUCUGAGAGGACGACCGGCCACACUGGAACUGAGACACGGCCCAGACUCCUACGGGAGGCAGCAGUGGGGAAUUUUGGGCAAUGGGCGAAAGCCUGAUCCAGCAAUGCCGCGUGUGUGAAGAAGGCCUUCGGGUUGUAAAGCACUGUUGUUCGGAAAGAACACCUUUGCCCUAAUACGGGCGGGUGAUGACGGUACCGGAAGAAUAAGCACCGGCUAACUACGUG
rnacentral:rRNA from 1 species